UAGUAAUCGCGGAUCAGCAUGCCGCGGUGAAUACGUUCUCGGGCCUUGUACACACCGCCCGUCACACCAUGGGAGUCGGUAACACCCGAAGUCUGUGACCCAACCUGCAAGGGAGGGAGCAGCCGAAGGCAGGUCGGAUGACUGGGGUGAAGUCGUAACAAGGUAAC
rnacentral:rRNA from 1 species